rnacentral:rRNA from 1 species
CAGGCCUAACACAUGCAAGUCGAACGCCCGAGCAAUCGGGAGUGGCAGACGGGUGAGUAACACGUGGGAACAUACCCUUUGGUUCGGAACAACGCCGGGAAACUGGCGCUAAUACCGGAUACGCCCUUUGGGGGAAAGGCUUGCCGCCGAAGGAGUGGCCCGCGUUCGAUUAGCUAGAUGGCGGGGUAACGGCCCACCAUGGCGACGAUCGAUAGCUGGUCUGAGAGGAUGGCCAGCCACAUUGGGACUGAGACACGGCCCAAACUCCUACGGGAGGCAGCAGUGGGGAAUAUUGGACAAUGGGCGCAAGCCUGAUCCAGCCAUGCCGCGUAAGUGAUGAAGGCCUUAGGGUUGUAAAGCUCUUUCGCACGCGACGAUAAUGACGGUAGCGUGAGAAGAAGCCCCGGCUAACUUCGUGCCAGCAGCCGCGGUAAU